GACAGAGGUGCCGAGCGUUAGGCGGAAUCACUGGGCUUAAAGCGUGUGUAGGCGGGUCGUUAAGUGUCCGUGUGAAAUCCCACCGCUCAACGGUGGAACUGCCGGGCAUACUGGCGAUCUUGAGCCACCUAGGGGCGAGCGGAACAAGCGGUGGAGCGGUGAAAUGCGUAGAUAUCGGGAGGAACACCAGUAGCGAAGGCGACACUCUGGGCCGGUACUGACGCUGAGGAGCGAAAGCGUGGGGAGCAAACAGG
rnacentral:rRNA from 1 species